rnacentral:rRNA from 1 species
UACGGAGGAUGCGAGCGUUAUCCGGAUUUAUUAGGUUUAAAGGGUGUGUAGGCGGAAGCUUAAGUCAGUGGUGAAAUCCCCCGGCUCAACCGGGGAACUGCCAUAGAUACUGGGUUUCUUGAGUACAGUUGAAGUAGGCGGAAUGUGUAAUGUAGCGGUGAAAUGCAUAGAUAUUACACAGAACACCGAUUGCGAAGGCAGCUUGCUAAGCUGUUACUGACGCUGAUGCACGAAAGCGUGGGGAGCGAACAGG